CAGAACCCUGCCGGAAGCCGUAUUUUCAGAAGCCCCAAGGCCGGCCGCAGCCCUGCGUUCUCGCUCGGGGACCGGCUUUCGGAAACCUCGUCACUUUAAGGUUUUUCUGCCCAUGUUCGAAAGUAUUGUGCACUCUGUGCGCACGGCUCCUCCUCUCUCUCUCUCACCAGCCUUCUGGCAUCCCCCCAUCCCGCCCUUCCAGGGUGGCCACCUCUGGGAGCCAAAGGACAGGGAGUAGCAGAGUCCCACGUGAGGGGUUCCUGGCACAGUAACCGGGCGGGUAGGGGAGUCAGAGCCGCCCAGCCCUGGACCUCGGCCAGCUCCCGAGGACGUUCGAGUCCAGCCCCCUGGAACCCAGAAUCUUCUGGGGCUGGCCGUGCUCUGUGCACUGCCCCCACUCCACCCUCACCGCCGCACCCUGGGUCGAUUCACAGCCGCUACCUCUGCCCAUUUCCUACGAGGAAACGGUAUCACUUUUCAGUCAGGAAAACCUGUGUGAGUAAAGAGGUUACUUCCGCCUCCUUGGAGCACUGGUUUCCUGGCCCCUUCCGUUGACCUGAUUUUGGAGACAGGUCCUUCCCCAGCCUCCCCUCAGGCUCCUGCCAAGCGACGUCUCACCCUUUCUCAGGCACCCAGGUCUCGUUCCUCCAUUCACUCAUGUGGCCCCGAAUGCCGCCUGGUGGGGAGAGUGGUGGCUCCCCCCAUGCUUCCCACAGACACAGCAUACAGACACACCAGCACCGUCCGCCCCCUACGUCCUCCUUAUGCCAGGAAAACUGAGGCCACAUGGUGGUGAAGGAAGAAUGAACCAGGAGAGAAGUCCCAGCCCUGGAAAGAAGAGUGAAAACCGCAGAGACAGCUGCUGCCCAGGCCACAGACCUGAGGGCUCAGUGCUUCCUCACUGGCCCGAAGGGACCCGCAUAAGCCUCCCCUUCAGGCUUCACCAGAACUGCAGGCCAAUUGGCAUCAGCCCAUAUGGCGCCACCAAAAUGGAAGAGGCCACCAAGAGGACCAUCAUCCUGGAAGGUCCAGUGACCCCUCUGCUUUGCUUUCUAGGAGUCUGUGGGUUGCUUGUCUUUUGAGGCAUAGGUUUUAUAUCUGGGCACAAAACUCUAGAGAAGAAAGAACACAUUUGCCAGCCUCACUACAACUAGGUGGGGCCAUGAACUAAAGUUUGGCAGAGGAAAUGCAAGAGGGAGUAUCUUGUGGCCACUUUCAGGAACCUUCCUUGAGAAACCGUUGGAGCACACCUUUUGACCUUUCUUCAUUCCUUUUUCCAUCCUGAUGCCUGGAACACAGUUGCUGGCAUAGACCUUAAAAUGAAAGCCACACCCUAAGGAUGGUAGAGGAACUUCAAGAGAAACUGAAGGAGCCAAGCCCCCAUACCAAUACUGGACUGCAUACACUUCGACUUUUCCUUGAUCUUGGACUUCCAGCCUCCAGAAUGGUGAGAAAAAGCAAACGUGUUGUUUAAGACAGACAGUCUUUGGUACUUUGUUAUGGCAGCCCUAGCAAACUAAUAUAUCUGCAUAUCUGAAUAGUAGUGUAAAUAAAUUUACAUCCCCCUCACAACUUUAGUUUUUACAUAAAUCGAAGGGUGUUAUAGUAAUAGCUAAUUAUUUAGUACUUUCUCUCUGUCAGGCAUUAUUCUAAGGGCUUACAUGUCUUGACUCAUUUUAUUCUUAUAACCUCAUUUAAUCUCGUUUACAGAUAUGAACUCUGAGGGACAGAGAAGGUAACUUCCAAAGCCUCAGAAAGCCCACGUGGCAGAGCCAGGAUUUAGAGCCAGACAGGCUCCAGAGCUACACAUUCCACCAGCAGAGGGAAACUUGGUUUUUCAGUAAAACAUAAUACUUCCUGGUAGUUUUCCAUCAGUACUUGUAUAUCUGUUGCAUUUGUUUAAAGAGCCACGUGGAAUAUUGGUUUUAUUCCAGGAUAUAAAAAUUAAACCUUCAUUGGUAUCUUUGCUGCUUCAGCAAGUAGACUUCUGUCCAUCCUCAGGAAUAAUGACUCAUCCAGAAAGAAAGCAUUUCCUGUCACCCCUGAAGGAGCAGAGUGGCCAUUGUGUAUCUUAAGAAUUGGUAGCCCCUCCUUAACUUAGUAGAACUGUUUUUUUUUUUUUUUUUUUUUUUCUUUCGUCUCCACCUGUGGACUGUGGCAUGUACAAGUUCCCGGGCCAGAAACUGAACUGCACCACUGCAAGGGACUUAAGCUGCAGCAGUGACAAUGCCGUAUCCUUAACCUACUGUGCCACAAGGAAACUCAUAGUAGAACUCCUUUUUGCGAAGCUUUGCCUGAAAGGGAUUGAAGUCAUGUUAUGACAGAAAAGAAGCAAAAUGAAGGUUUGUAGGAGAGGUACAAGAUGGAUUUGGAUCUGGCACCCUAAGAAAUGCCUGGGAGUAGGGCACAAGAGGAAGUCCUUUGGGUCCUUGGAUCCAGUACCUGGCCCAUCCUUGAGUGGUCCCAGCUGUAGUAUGUAGACUGGAAUGGAUUAGGCCUAAGGUGAAUGGGGGCAGAAGACUGUUGGAGUGGCCACGGUGGAUGUCAGAUGAGAGAAAGGCUGUUCUGCACCAGAGACAGCUAGCCAAGGCAGGCUGCAAAGUGGGGAGAGAAAACUGGGGGAGUGGGCACUUCCCCUGUCUGGGUGCUAAGAUGCAUCCUGAGCAUCCUCCUGGGUGUGCCUAUGAAACCCAUGUCCCACAGUGAAUCAUCUGCCAGUGAGGAGCUUUCUCUUUGUACCCCAGGAAUUUGGCAUACCUUUAGGAGAUCUCAUUAAAUUAUUGAAUCUCUCAUUCUCAAUUUCUUUUUCUGUUUGCAUCCAUUUCUGGCAGGUUUUCUCAACUUUAUUUUCCAUCCCUUCUUUUGAGUUUUUUUCAUUGCUACUGCAUCUCUUUCGUUGCCAAGGGCUGCUCCCGAGCCGCGUCUGCAACCUACACCGCAGCUCAUGGCAGUGCUGGAUCCUCAACCCACUGAGCAAGGCCAGGGAUUGAACCCGAAACCUUAUGGUUCUUAGUCGGAUUAGUUAACCACUGCGCCACGACGGGAACUCCACAAGAAUAUUUCUUAUUUUACACUUCCUUGAACAUAUUUUUAUACUUUUUUGAAGAGGCAAGUGAAUGGAGGAUAGUUUUCUUCUUCCUGCAGAGUUUCUGGCUCCUCUCAAGUCUGUUUAUUUUUUUUUUGGGGGGGGGGUCCUCUGUCUUCUGUGUUAGAGGUUGUCCUUGAGUGUCCUGCAGUUUUGGUUUUCUUUUUGUUGUUAAGCAGAGAAGGGGAACUAAUGAUCUAUAAUAAAACUCAUUGAAUUCUGUACCUAUAGAAAAGAAUAUAUAUAUGGAAAAUUCAUGAAAGUUAUCCAAAUAUUAAGUCACCAAGAAAAUAUCAGGAUAGUUCAAAGAAUAGAAAUAUACAAAUAACAUGCUCUGAUCAUAAUGCAAUAAAAGUUUUAGCAAUUAAUGAC